UUGGAGGGCAAGUCUGGUGCCAGCAGCCGCGGUAAUUCCAGCUCCAAUAGCGUAUAUUAAAGUUGUUGCAGUUAAAAAGCUCGUAGUUGAAUUUCGGGGUCAGUAGGUUGGUCAUGCCACUGGUAUGUACUGGUCUUACUGAUUCCUCCUUCCUGAUGAGCUGUAAUGCCAUUAAUUUGGUGUUGCGGGGAGUCUGGACUGUUACUUUGAAAAAAUUAGAGUGUUUAAAGCGGGCUAUUGCUUGAAUAGAUUAGCAUGGAAUAAUAGAAUAGGACGUUGUGGUUCUAUUUAUUGGUUUCUAGGACCACCGUAAUGAUUAAUAGGGAUAGUUGGGGGCAUUAGUAUUCAAUUGUCAGAGGUGAAAUUCUUGGAUUUAUUGAAGACUAACUAUUGCGAAAGCAUUUGCCAAGGAUGUUUUCAUUAAUCAAGAACGAAAGUUAGGGGAUCGAAGACGAUCAGAUACCGUCGUAGUCUUAACCAUAAACUAUGCCGACUAGGAAUCGGGCGUCGUUAUUUUCACGACUCGCUCGGCGCCUUACGGGAAAC
rnacentral:rRNA from 1 species